AGAGUUUGAUCAUGGCUCAGAUUGAACGCUGGCGGCAGGCCUAACACAUGCAAGUCGAACGGUAACAUUUCUAGCUUGCUAGAAGAUGACGAGUGGCGGACGGGUGAGUAAUGCUUGGGAACUUGCCUUUGCGAGGGGGAUAACAGUUGGAAACGACUGCUAAUACCGCAUAAUGUCUUCGGACCAAACGGGGCUUCGGCUCCGGCGCAAAGAGAGGCCCAAGUGAGAUUAGCUAGUUGGUAAGGUAACGGCUUACCAAGGCGACGAUCUCUAGCUGUUCUGAGAGGAAGAUCAGCCACACUGGGACUGAGACACGGCCCAGACUCCUACGGGAGGCAGCAGUGGGGAAUAUUGCACAAUGGGGGAAACCCUGAUGCAGCCAUGCCGCGUGUGUGAAGAAGGCCUUCGGGUUGUAAAGCACUUUCAGUUGUGAGGAAAAGUUAGUAGUUAAUACCUGCUAGCCGUGACGUUAACAACAGAAGAAGCACCGGCUAACUCCGUGCCAGCAGCCGCGGUAAUACGGAGGGUGCGAGCGUUAAUCGGAAUUACUGGGCGUAAAGCGCACGCAGGCGGUUUGUUAAGCUAGAUGUGAAAGCCCCGGGCUCAACCUGGGAUGGUCAUUUAGAACUGGCAGACUAGAGUCUUGGAGAGGGGAGUGGAAUUCCAGGUGUAGCGGUGAAAUGCGUAGAUAUCUGGAGGAACAUCAGUGGCGAAGGCGACUCCCUGGCCAAAGACUGACGCUCAUGUGCGAAAGUGUGGGUAGCGAACAGGAUUAGAUACCCUGGUAGUCCACACCGUAA
rnacentral:rRNA from 1 species